rnacentral:rRNA from 1 species
GAACGCUGGCGGCGUGCUUAACACAUGCAAGUCCGAACGGAAAGGCCUCUUCGGAGGUACUCGAGUGGCGAACGGGUGAGUAACACGUGGGUGAUCUGCCCUGCACUCUGGGAUAAGCCUGGGAAACUGGGUCUAAUACCGGAUAGGACCAUGCUUUAGUGUGUGUGGUGGAAAGUUUUUUCGGUGUAGGAUGAGCCCGCGGCCUAUCAGCUUGUUGGUGGGGUAAUGGCCUACCAAGGCGGCGACGGGUAGCCGGACUGAGAGGUUGGUCGGCCACAUUGGGACUGAGAUACGGCCCAGACUCCUACGGGAGGCAGCAGUGGGGAAUAUUGCACAAUGGGCGCAAGCCUGAUGCAGCGACGCCGCGUGGGGGAUGACGGCCUUCGGGUUGUAAACUCCUUUCGCCAGGGACGAAGCGUUUUGUGACGGUACCUGGAGAAGAAGCACCGGCUAACUACGUGCCAGCAGCCGCGGUAAUACGUAGGGUGCAAGCGUUGUCCGGAAUUACUGGGCGUAAAGAGCUCGUAGGUGGUUUGUCACGUCGUCUGUGAAAUUCCACAGCUUAACUGUGGGCGUGCAGGCGAUACGGGCUGACUUGAGUACUGUAGGGGUAACUGGAAUUCCUGGUGUAGCGGUGAAAUGCGCAGAUAUCAGGAGGAACACCGAUGGCGAAGGCAGGUUACUGGGCAGUUACUGACGCUGAGGAGCGAAAGCAUGGGUAGCAAACAGGAUUAGAUACCCUGGUAGUCCAUGCCGUAAACGGUGGGCGCUAGGUGUAGGGACCUUUUGGGGUUUCUGUGCCGUAGCUAACGCAUUAAGCGCCCCGCCUGGGGAGUACGGCCGCAAGGCUA